rnacentral:rRNA from 1 species
UUACUCGGAAUUACUGGGCGUAAAGCGUGCGUCGGUGGUUUUUUAAGUCCGUUGUGAAAGCCCUGGGCUCAACCUGGGAAUGGCAGUGGAUACUGGAAAGCUAGAGUGCGGUAGAGGGUAGUGGAAUUCCCGGUGUAGCAGUGAAAUGCGUAGAGAUCGGGAGGAACACCAGUGGCGAAGGCGGCUACCUGGACCAGCACUGACACUGAGGCACGAAAGCGUGGGGAGCAAACAGG